rnacentral:rRNA from 1 species
ACGAACGCUGGCGGCAUGCCUAACACAUGCCAGUCGAACGAGACCUUCGGGUCUAGUGGCGCACGGGUGCGUAACGCGUGGGAACCUGCCCUUAGGUUCGGAAUAACUCCCCGAAAGGGGUGCUAAUACCGGAUAAUGUCUUCGGACCAAAGAUUUAUCGCCUUUGGAUGGGCCCGCGUUGGAUUAGCUAGUUGGUAGGGUAAAAGCCUACCAAGGCGACGAUCCAUAGCUGGUCUGAGAGGAUGAUCAGCCACACUGGGACUGAGAUACGGCCCAGACUCCUACGGGAGGCAGCAGUGGGGAAUAUUGGACAAUGGGCGAAAGCCUGAUCCAGCAAUGCCGCGUGAGUGAUGAAGGCCUUAGGGUUGUAAAGCUCUUUUACCCGGGAUGAUAAUGACAGUACCGGGAGAAUAAGCUCCGGCUAACUCCGUG